rnacentral:rRNA from 1 species
AUUGAACGCUGGCGGCAUGCUUUACACAUGCAAGUCGAACGGUAACGCGGGGGCAACCCUGGCGACGAGUGGCGAACGGGUGAGUAAUACAUCGGAACAUGUCCUGGAGUGGGGGAUAGCUCGGCGAAAGCCGGAUUAAUACCGCAUACGCUCUGAGGAGGAAAGCGGGGGACCCGCAAGGGCCUCGCGCUGCAGGAGUGGCCGAUGUCGGAUUAGCUAGUUGGUGAGGUAAAGGCUCACCAAGGCGACGAUCCGUAGCUGGUCUGAGAGGAUGAUCAGCCACACUGGGACUGAGACACGGCCCAGACUCCUACGGGAGGCAGCAGUGGGGAAUUUUGGACAAUGGGGGCAACCCUGAUCCAGCCAUGCCGCGUGAGUGAAGAAGGCCUUCGGGUUGUAAAGCUCUUUCGGACGGAACGAAACGGUUACGGUGAAUAUCCGUGACUAAUGACGGUACCGUAAGAAGAAGCACCGGCUAACUACGUGCCAGCAGCCGCGGUAAUACGUAGGGUGCGAGCGUUAAUCGGAAUUACUGGACGUAAAGCGUGCGCAGGCGGUUCGCCAAGUCAGGUGUGAAAUCCCCGGGCUUUACCUGGGAAUUGCGCUUGAAACUAGCGGGCUUGAAUGCGGCAGAAGGGGGGUGG